rnacentral:lncRNA from 1 species
UUUUAUACACAUAAGCAUCCGUAUGCUACAUUUUUGUUUUGCAUCCAUACACCCGUAUGUUUCAUUGCUUUUUAUUUUAUUUUUUUUUCGUUAAAAGUAUGUUAUUUAAAAAAAAAAAAAAAAAAUCAUUUAUUUCAAAGUUUUAAACAUAUAUUCAAAAAGAAUAAAUAAAGAAAAAUUUGUUGGUUUAUGUAUUUUUAAUAUCUUUUUAUCAAACAUAUGUGCAGCAUAGUAAACAAAAAAAAUACAACUAAAAUAUAUUUGUUUCUUUUAGAAUUUUUUUUUUUUUUUUUUUAUUAUAAAUAUUUACUCCUAAAUUUGUUUAUACAAAGGAAUGUAAAUUAAAUAGAGCAUGCAUUAUUUUGAUUAAGUCAAUGUAUGUAUGUGUUAAGUUGCAGUAGUGUGAAAAUUAAAAAGACAACAUGAAGUACAUGUUUGCAUGAGUGAAUAUGUUUUUUUUUAUUGGUUUUAUAUAUAUAAAUACAUACAUGACUUAUAUUUUCAUUUCCGUGUGUGUUUCAGUGCGCUGUUCACCCCCUCAGUAUUAAUUCGAUUUAUAUUCCAUGUUUUGAAAUAACUUAUUUAUUUAGCUAUUUUAUAAACUUAUUUAUCUAACGGUUUAUUUAUUUUUGUUUCAUUUAUUUUUGCUUAUUUUAUUCACGUUUAUAAUGAAAAAUAAAGUUUAUUUAUGUCUAGACGAUAAGUUAUUUAAACUAAAAGAGUUAUAUUUUUGUGUUAUUUGCUCAAAGAUAAAGACUGAGUUUAAUUUGAUUGAAGAAAUAGAAUAUUAUUUCUGUAAUGGAUGUACUAAAAUAUAUACAAAAAAUGAAUCAAUUAUAUAUUCCUACAAAUGCAUGCGUUGUUUUAAAUGCCCUUUUUGUUUUAGUUACUUAACAUUAACACAAAGCAGUUUAUGUGAUUUGUCUUUGCCGUAUAAUAAUUCAGGAGAAACACACAAAACAAAUAAUCAACCACAUGUAAAAAACGUAAAUAAAAAUAAUACACUUGGAAAUGCCAGUAAAAACAAUAAUAAAGCCGAUUCGAAUAAUUUAAGAAAAGAAGACUGCGAUUCUACAACACGUUUGAAUGUCAAAAGUGAUGAAAAUAUUCAAAAUAGUGAACAGAAUAAAAUAAAUGAUAAUACCUCAGAGGAAAAUUAUAACACUUCAGGUGCCUUGAAUAAUUUAAAAAAAGAGAACAAAAUAAAUACUACCACUGCUAUUAACAAUAUACGAAAGGGACCACACGAAAAAGAUGAAGUCGUAUUUUAUUUUAAAUGCUCCUAUUGCUUAUGGUCCUCUAUUAACUCAUUUUAUAACAGCAAGUUAGACGAACUGCUUGGUGAUAUGAUACUGGAUGAAAAUAAAAAUGUAUAUAAAUGUUAUUUCAAAGAUAUCUUAAAUGAGUUAUUAAAUUAUAACAAUGAAAUAAAUAAAAGAAAAAUUUUGAAAAAGGCAUAUUUAAAUAAAGGAGAAGGAGGAAAAACAUAUAAAAAAUUACAAAGUUAUUUUUAUUUAAAUGAUGAACUUAGUUUUAGUAGAUCAAGUUGCUUCAUAAAUGGUCUAACAUAUGGAGACAUGAAUAGGUUUACAAACGAACUCACAAGUGAGAACUAUUUAAAAAACGAUUGUAAUACAAAACUUGUCGAAAAAAAUAAAAUAUCGUUGAUAUGGCAAUCUGAAAUAAAUAUAGAAAGGUUAAGUUUGAAAAAUAUUUUGAAUGGUGAACAUAUUAACAAUUCAGAAAGAUAUAGUGAUAUUUUUGAAUUAGAAAAUGAAAAUCCAAAAUAUUUGGAAUUUCUAUUGUCUAAUAAUGAAACAAAUUUGGAAGAUGAAAAACAAAAAAGGGAAAAGCAAAAGGAAAAAGCAAAAGAAAAGGCAAAACACAAUUCAGCUGAUUACCAAAAGUUAAAAAAAUUGUACAUAGAUAAAAAGUUAUCAAAAGAGGAAAUGCAUGAAAAACCGAGUGAACAAAUGACUGAAGAAGUAGAAGUAAACAUUUGCGAAAAAUUAAACAUAAUAAACAACGAAAAAAUGAAUAAUUUACUUAUUUACGCUAAAAAUCAUUUAACCAAUAAACAUAUGUAUAAUUAUCCUUAUAAUUAUUAUAAAGGUAUUAGCGAAUUGACACCAUUGAGAGCCAAAUUAAUCAGUAAACAAUCUAAAAGAUGUUCUAAUUGUAAACAGUAUAUAUUAAAACUUUAUAAUUCUAAUUUAAGUUCUGUGUUCCGACUAGAUAAUAAUGCAAUGAAAUUUUUACCUCGAAUUUAUAUAAACGAUUUUAAUAUUAUUAAAAAAAAAAAUGGUAUAUUAAAUUUUAUUUUAAUAAACCCACUUGAAAGUGAAAUGAAAAUAAAAAUAUUACCUGAAAUAGAACAUAAUUUUAUUGAACAGUUAAAUAUAAAUCAAAUAAGUGCUAACUGUAUAUCUAAAGCAAAUUCUUAUGAAUUUUUUAUAGACACAUACGAUGAAAUUAUAGAUGAACUACUAAAAGAAAGCAAACAAACUAUUAAAACAGAAGUAACAAAUGAGCAUAUGAUUAUUAAAAGACAAAAUAAUAUGGCACUCAUAAUUAUGAGUUUUCUGUAUAUAGAGAAUGGAAUCACAUCUAAAGAAAAUAACGAUGUAAAUGACGUCAUUUUGGACAGGUUGUUAUUACAAAGUGAUCAGAAACAGCAAGUUGGCACUGUUUCUAAGGACACCGAAGCUACUGUUGUUAAAGGUGAUGAUAACGACAAUGGUAAUGUGAAUGGAAAUGGAAAUGGUAAUAAAAAUGACAAUGAUAAUAGUAACAACAACAACAACAACAACAACAACAAUACUGAUAUUGGUUUUAUUACUACUUUCGAGCACAACAAAUCUGGAAAGUGUAAUAAUACUGACGAAACUGCGAAUAGUACACCCCAAUUGAACUUCCCAUUGGUUUUAGAAUGUUCUUUUUGUGAUAAAUCAAAAAAACCACAUAAAAUAAAAUUAAAUCUUGUCUUCACAAAUAAUAAAUGUACAAAAAGUAUAUAUAACUGUCCCCUUGAUGGGUCGUAAGUAUAAGUGCUACAUAGUUAGUACACUUAUCCUAUAUAUAUAAAUGUAUACUUGUUCUAUUUAGAUGAACCUUUUUUUUUUUUUUUUUUAAUUAAAAAAAUAGCUACAUAUAUAUAAACUCUGUU